UCCUCCGAUUGGCCGACCGUUCGUCCAAUCGGCGCGCACCACAGGUGCUCGGCUCGCUUUCCGUAUUUGGCUCCGAGCGCGGUUCUGGUCCCCCGACCCGAGUCGAGUUCGGUCAAAUUGGAGUCAUGAGUGGCGUCGCCAUCCUGGUGCCGGUCCCGCUGCUGCUGCUGCUGCUGCUGCUGCUGCUGCAGCUCGGCCACGGCGCCAUCUUCUUCAAAGAGCAGUUCCUGGACGGGGACGCUUGGAGGAGCAGAUGGGUGGAGUCUAAAUACAGGGAAGAUUACGGCCAAUGGGAGCUGAGCGCCGGAAAGUUCUACGGUGACGCGGAGCUCGAUAAAGGCCUGCAGACGAGCGAGGACGCGCACUUGUACGCGCUGUCGGCCCGCCUGAAGCCGUUCAGCAACGAGGGCAAAGUCCUGGUGAUCCAGUUCAGCGUCAAGCACCAACAGAGUCUGGACUGCGGCGGCGGCUACGUCAAAAUCUUCCCCGCGGACCUCCGCCAGAGCAGCAUGAACAACCGCUCGCCUUUUUACAUCAUGUUCGGUCCCGACAUCUGCGGCUCGAAGAGGAAGAAAGUUCACGUCAUCCUCAGCUACAAGGGCCGAGGACAUCCCAUCAAAAAAAACAUCCCGUGCAAGGACGACGAGCUGACCCACGUUUACACGCUGGUGCUGCGUCCGGACCAAACGUACCAAGUGAAGAUCGACAACCGAGAGGCGGCGGCGGGUUCGCUGGAGGACGACUGGGACCUGCUGCCCCCCCGGACGGUCAAAGACCCCCUGGCCCGCAAGCCCGUCGACUGGGACGACCGCCCCACCCUCGACGACCCCGCCGACACCAAGCCUGAGGACUGGGACCAGCCGGAAAACAUCCCGGACCCGAAUCACCGCAAGCCGAGCGACUGGGACGAAGGCUUCGACGGCAAGUGGGUGCCUCGCACGAUCACCAAUCCGGACUACAAGGGUGAAUGGACGCCCAAACAGAUAGACAACCCCAACUACAAAGGCCCGUGGGCGCACCCCGAGAUCGCCAACCCGGACUACGUUCACGACGCCGACAUGUACAAGUUUGACAACAUCGGCGUGCUGGGAUUGGAACUGUGGCAGAUGAAGUCCGGGACCAUCUUUGACAACUUCCUCAUCGGCGACGACGUUCAGGAAGCGGAAGAAUUUGCCCGGCAAACUUGGGGACUCAAGCAGGCGGCCGAGAAGAAGAUGAAGGAGGAGCAGGACCGGCUGGAGGAGGACGAGGAGGACCAGAACCCAGAAGACCGCCAGGGCCACGAUGCGCAGAUCAUCAAAAACACCGAACUGUAGUCUUGCGUGAGGGCGGCGGCGCUUCCGAGCGGGCGGUUGAGGAUCCAAAACCAAAAUCCAAAGCGGCUGCGGACUCGUUUUGUUUUGGAGGUCUGCUCCGUUCCUAAAAUGGCGGCCGCGGCCACUCGCUCCAACGUUGGACUUGUUCGUAUGGUGACACUUGAAUGUUGUUUUUCAUAUUUUCUGAUGAUUCUCACGCCGGUCCUCGACCUCUCUUUUGGACUUCGACCAAUAAAGUGACCCGACACCGGUGAACUCCAUUUUUUUUGUCACGUGAGGUCUGACGGCUGCUUCAAACUCAUUUUUGGGUGCGGAAUGCAAAAUGUUUUUGGUUUUUUUUUCCCCAUCGCGUCAACUUUUCAAACCACAGUUCCCCGUUUUCUUCAAAAACUGGAAAAAUACUGCUUGUUUCAAAAAAUCCGGACCCGCGGUGAAAUAUGGCACCGCUGACCUCCGCGCAGUUUUUCCCGAGGCUUGAAACUGUUCCUGCGCUCGUUUUCUGCCAGCAGUUCUUGACAUUCGCGAGCCUCGGCGGCCGUCUUCUUGUAGCUGAGGACGAUUCCGGGGCCUCUCGCCCCAAGAGAGCUGAGCUGAGCCCAAGCCCGACCGAGACCCGGUCAGGAGAACCGGUGGCUCCUCCGCCCCUGUGUCGCCCCCUGCAGGCCGACAUGUUCUCUUUUCAGAAUAAAAAAUGAAAUUAAAUUCGACCUUGCUUUUUUUUCCCCACCCUUUCUAUUUCUCUCUCACUCGAAGUUUCAUCCCUUGCUAAUUUAAAAUAUCAUAUGGGUUUUGUUUGGUGUGUGCAACAUUAGUUUUGCACAUUUUUGGAUUCAUAUUCCUAUUGUUUCCUAAUGUCCAUUUUUCAUUUGAAAGUUGAAUUCAACGAUUUUUAAAGGUGUGCAAGUGUCGAGCGUCCGUCAACUUCUUCAAUGGUGUGUGUGACUUUCAACACGGGCGCCCUUGGAAUUGUGACCUUUCCUCGGAUAGGUCGCCAAGGUGGCACGGACGCCAUUUUUCUGAAGUACAAGUUUUGUAGCGAAGUACUUUCCGGUCAGGAAGGGAAAGUUGCUAUUUCGACACUCUUUUGUGGGUCAACUCUUGAAACACACAUCCAAGGUCCGGCUUGCCCGCGACCCUUGUGAGGAUAAGUGGCUCAGAAAACGGAUGGAAGUCAAAGUGGCUUGGGGAGGGAAACUUUGGUGUUGCAGCGAGUCGUCAGAUUGUGCUGCCGUGUUCCGGUAUUGAAGCACAGCGUUGCCGGAGCCUCCUCCUCGCGGGUGUUCCGCCCGUGGGCGUCGAACUCUUUGGCAGGCAAAACACCGAAACGACGUCUCGGCCGUCGUCGGGUUCUCUGACGUCCCAUCGUCCGUGAAGCCAACGUCUUCCUGUCAUUCGUCGCCCGGCCUGCUAGAGGGCGCGCAUGUUCCCCCCCCCCCCUCACCCCGGCCGGCUUCCAUCGAGUCAGACCGCUGAGUCACUCGCCGAGUCCGCUCGGGCGCUUCCAACUUGGACCCUUCAGUAGUCGGGCAAGUCGAACCCCGAGCGAAUGUGAAGCGUGAAGGGAGGUUUUUUUUUUUUUUUUGCGCCCCCCCCCCUUCUCCCCUUUCUCGUGCGCAUUUUGGAGCUGGAGCGGCUGGCAGGAUGCUGACGGUGACGCUGAGGACGCUCCAGCAGCAGACGUUUAAAAUUCACAUCGACGCCGACGAGACGAUCUGGUGGACGAGUGACAGCGGGCAACUUUUUCCAACUGACCCGAACCAAACGGGAUUUCUCAUUUGACCCACAAAAGGAGAUGCGGCCUUCAAACAUUUUCUUGAAUGAUCUCCGUGUGGAACUUUGGUCAGGUGAAAGCGUUGAAGGAGCGGAUCGCCGAGGAGCGAGGAAAAGAUGC